AGAGCGAACGCUGGCGGCAGGCCUAAAACAUGCAAGUCGAACGGACCCUUCGGGGUUAGUGGCGGACGGGUGAGUAACACGUGGGAACGUGCCCUUUGGUUCAGAACAACUCAGGGAAACUUGAGCUAAUACUGAAUAAGCCCUACGGGGGAAAGAUUUAUCGCCAUCGGAGCGGCCCGCGUCUGAUUAGCUAGUUGGUGAGGUAAAGGCUCACCAAGGCUACGAUCAGUAGCUGGUCUGAGAGGAUGAUCAGCCACACUGGGACUGAGACACGGCCCAGACUCCUACGGGAGGCAGCAGUUAGGAAUCUUGCGCAAUGGGCGAAAGCCUGACGCAGCCAUGCCGCGUGAAUGAUGAAGGUCUUAGGAUUGUAAAAUUCUUUCAGUGGGGAAGAUAAUGACUGUACCCACAGAAGAAGCUCCGGCUAACUUCGUGCCAGCAGCCGC
rnacentral:rRNA from 1 species